UUCUGGGAAUUUCUCCUACCCCGUAAACCGUCCUACCCGUAGUUCCUGAGCAUGUGCGCGCAUGCGCACAACACAAAAAGGGAAGCUAAGCGCAUCCGGCUGUGAUUUCACGCUACUCCAUUGUCAUAUUUGCAGGAGAAUAGGUAAGUAGUAAGUAUUAGUACUUUUUAUUGACGUUGAUACUUGAUUUUUUAAGCCUUUGUGAUUGUUUGUCAAUAUUAAAGUGAAGUCGCUAUCUGCUUUCUGCACAAAACUGUCGAAUUUGCAGAUUCGGUGAAGUCUGCUGUCAAGUUACCGGACACGUGGUAUUUGCACAACACUUUUGAGUCCGCAGCUUCGGUGUUUUAAGGCUGUUUCGGUAAUUUCGUUAUUUAAUAAGUUAAAUUAUUUGCAUUGUCAACUGCACAUAUUGAAGCUCAUAAGAAAAUGUUUACUGACAUUCGUAGAUAUGGAGAAGAAGUGGGAAGAGAUUUACGCGUUCAUUUCUGCGGGCUCCUACCCUUCAGGAUAUGACAAGGCUCAGAGGCAAAACCUCAGAAGAUAUGCCUCAAAAUUCAAACAAAAGGAUGGAGAACUCUUUGUUGGAACCAGAAGAGUAGUAAAAACCAUGGAUGAUGCCAGGAAGAUAUUUCAUGAGUUUCAUUCAUCUCCAAUUGGAGGACACACUGGCACACACAAAACGCUAAAUGCAGUGUGUUCCAGAUUUUACUGGUUUGGUAUGACAGUUGACAUUAAAACAUGGAUUCAGGAAUGUGACCAGUGUCAAAAAGUUGGGAAACCACUGACUGCUGUGCAACCGUUGCAGUGUAUUCAGGUGUCUGAAGUGUGGGAACUUAUUGGUAUAGAUCUUACUGGACCUCUUCCUAAAACUUCAAGCGGCUUCCAGUAUAUACUUACUGCAACUGACUACUUUUCAAAAUGGGUUGAAGCUUUCCCAUUAAAAACGAAAUCUGCAUCUGAGGUAGCCCAGCACUUGUGCUCCAUUAUAUAUAGACAUGGCUGCCCCAAAAGGAUUUUGUCAGACCAAGGCAGAGAGUUUGUGAAUGAACUCAACUCUGAUCUUUGCAAGUUAUUGCAAAUUGAAAGAAGUGUCACAGCAGCAUACCAUCCACAGACGAAUGGUCUAGAUGAAAAGACCAAUGACAACAUAAAAAGAGCCCUCCGAAAACUGGUGAAUGACCAGCAGAAUAACUGGGAUCUGUAUCUAGAGCCCACCCUGUUUUCACUUCGGUCAAAAGUACACACCACAACAAAAUACACACCUUUUUUUCUGAUGUAUGGAAGAGAGGCAGUAUUUCCAUCAGAAGUGCCUGUUCAAGUGCCGGUGAGUGUUUGUCAAAUUCUUUCCAUGUUAGAACUAAGAAUUGAAACCAUUUAA